CUGAGGGCGAAGCGCUUACGGCUAAAACAUUUGGACACUAUAUGACAUAUCACCUUCUAUAACAUAUCAUACUCUAUGACCUAUCACCCUCAUCGCCGCAACGCGCGGGUAUUUGCUCUCGUGUAUAUAUAUAAAUCCAGAAUGCUUCUCUUUUGAGGGUUUUAUAUCGGUUGUUGAUGAUUAUCUCGAUUUCGAAGAAGGGUAAGGAAAGGAAUUAGGGUUUUUGGAGAUUCAACCAACAAUCUUAAAUUGCGGUCCACCUACUUCUUGACUCUUGUUUUUCUUUCUUUCAGGUAUUAAUUUUUGCUUUUAUAAGGAUCUGUUUGGGUCUUGUUACUGAAUGGAAGAUUGAAAAAGGUCGCGUAUAUGGCACAACUUGACAUGCGUGAGUUCUAUACCCACAGAUACAAAUAUGCGGCUCAUUCAUCAUCCUCAUCGAUUCAUCAUAAAGGGAAUCUAUUGGGAAGAUACUGUAGAUGAAAGAGGCAGGGAAAUGAAUAAGAAGAUUGGAGGUGCAGGUGAAUUAAAGAAAGAUGAUUUUAAAGGCUUCAAGGAAAUAGAGCAUCUUGAGAAAUGAAGACGAUGAUUGAAAGCUACCCUGAAGACUGUUGAUGGACCACUGGCCAAAGACUAGAGAGAUGGAAGAGCAGCUUUGUUGCAGCAUGGUGCUACACUGAUGAGGAUUGGGUAUCCUCAGACUUUGUAGGAGACAUCAGAAUCUUCAAAGCCAAUUGGAAUUACAAAGGAUGGAAGAGUUUAUUUAAAGGAUGUCUGGUCGAGUAAUGGAGAAAUUGCUGAGGUCCAAGUCUUUCAAUAUUCUUUUUAUGUUAUGUCCAGACCACAUUAAGUUAAUAAGACUUCCAUUUAUGGUACCUUUAUAAUUUCCGAGGUGGUUCGGUCAAGCGUGCUACCCGAAAUAUGUUUAAGAGUACCUACUACAAUAUCACAUGGGGAAAUCCAAUGUGGAGCAAGUUUUCUGUACGUUCAUCCAUUUUAGUCAUUCAUUUUUUGUUGAUCAUGCUGAAGGUAUUUCUAACCUUAUGCAACUUUGUACUACUGGGAUAUUCCACAAAUGCUUGAAGGUAGAUAUGA